UUUGAGAAACUUUACAGUUCACCUUUUUGCCACCUUAGACUUCUUUAGUAAAUUAUAGCUCCAUCUAGCGGUGUUAAGUUGUAUUACACCUUGUUUUCUAGUUAAAGAAUAAUGCAUUGUGGGUGAUUGCAAGGCAUUCUGGGAGGGAGGAGCCUCCAUUUUACAGUCUUCAGUCACCAGGACUCAUCAUCAGAGCUGUCUCUGUAUGUCUCCUUCCAAAACUCCACCAUCUGUGUAAUAGCAUAUCUGUUUUACCACAUCACAUUACCACAUCACAUUACAUGUGUGUAAUCCUGUUUUGCCAUAUAUACUCAACAACCUGUUCACCAAUAAACAAGUUAAACUACAAAGAA